UACGGGGGGAGCAAGCGUUGUUCGGAUUUACUGGGCGUAAAGGGCGCGUAGGCGGCCACUGCAAGUUGGUUGUGAAAUCUCCGGGCUUAACCCGGAAAGGUCAACCGAUACUGCAGGGCUAGAGUGCAGAAGGGGCAACUGGAAUUCUCGGUGUAGCGGUGAAAUGCGUAGAUAUCGAGAGGAACACCUGCGGCGAAGGCGGGUUGCUGGGCUGACACUGACGCUGAUGCGCGAAAGCUAGGGGAGCGAACGGG
rnacentral:rRNA from 1 species